AUAUUUAUAUUUUAAACACACACACACAUCGUCACGUUUUCCGGGGUGCUGGGCAAUUUGGUCUGGUCGGUAAAAUGGGAUGUGUGGAGGCCUAAC
rnacentral:sRNA from 1 species